rnacentral:misc_RNA from 1 species
GCGAAAACAGUUGGUACAAAAAUAGUGGCAUCAGAGGCAGGGCUAGGAGCUGGGCCUUCCUGAGCAGCCACAUUCUGAGCAGCAGAAACCGCCAUGAGAACAACCACAAUGGCCACAAAUACUCUCAUUUUCAAUGCCUCCAUCGUAGAUUUUCCUGUUUGGUGGAAGAAAAAAACGAAAUUUUCCCAAGAAAGUUAGGUAUUUAGAAGAUGGGAAAAUUUGUGGAGGCAGAAAGAAAUUGGAAC